GGUUGUGGCUCAAUGGCAGAGCACUUGCCUCGCAUAUGUGAGAUACUGAGUUCGAUCCUCAGCACCA
rnacentral:tRNA from 1 species